rnacentral:rRNA from 1 species
GACUGGAAUAACUCCGGGAAACCGGGGCUAAUGCCGGAAACAUUUAGAACCGCAGGGUUCUAAAGUGAAAGAUGGUUUUGCUAUCACUUAUAGAUGGACCCGCGCCGUAUUAGCUAGUUGGUAAGGUAAUGGGCUUAACAAGGCAACGAUACGUAUGCCGACCUGAGAGGGUGAUCGGCCACACUGGAACUGAGACACGGUCCAGACUCCUACGGGAGGCAGCAGAUAGGGAAUCUUCCGCAAUGGGCGAAAGCCCUGACGGAGACAACGCCGCGUGAGUAAUGAAAGGCUUCCGCAUCGUAAAACUCUUGGUUAUUACGGAAGAAACACAACGUGUAAGUAAACUGUGUCACGUCUUGACGGUACCUAUACAUCAGAAAGGCCACGGCUAACUACGUGGCCAGCAGACGGCGGUAAUAAGUAGGUGGCGAAGAGCUAUUCUCGGAAUUAAUUGGGCGUAAAGCGCGCGUAGGGCGGUUUCUUUAAGUCUGAUGUGAAAAGACCCACCGCCUCAACCCGCGGAGGGUCACUUGGAAAAUGGGAGACUUGAGUGCAGAAGAGGAAAAGUGGAGAUUCCAUGUGUAGCGGUGAAAUGCGCAGAGAUAUGGAGGAACACCAGUGGCGAAGGCGACUCUCUGGUCUGUAACUGACGCUGAUGUGCGAAAGCGUGGGGAUCACAACAGGAUAAGAUACCCCGGUAGUCCACGCCGUAAACGAUGAGUGCUAAGUGUUAGGGGGUGUCCGCCCCCUAGUGCUGCAGCUAAAGCAUUAAGCACUCCGCCUGGGCGAGUACGACCGCAAGGUUGAAACUCAAAGGAAUUGACGGGGACCCGCACAAGCGGUGGAGCAUGUGGUUUAAUUUCGAAGCAACGCGAAGAACCUUACCAAAUCUUGACAUCCUUUGACCACCUCUAGAGAUAGAGCCUUCCCCUUCGGGGGACAAAAUGAACAGGUGGUGCAUGGUGGUCGUCAGCUCGUGUCGUGAAGAUGUUGGGUUAAGUCCCGCAACGAGCGCAACCCCUAAAAUUAGUUGCCAGCAUAUAGUUGGGCACUCUAGCUUGACAGCCGGUGACAAACCGAGGGAAGGGGGGGAGGACGUCAAAUCCAUCACGCCCCCUAUGAUUUGGCGUACACACGUGCUACAAUGGACAAUACAAAGGGCAGCUAAACCGCGAGGUCACGCAAAUCCAAUAAAGUUGUUCCUUCAGUUUGGAUUGUAGUGUGCAACUCGACUACACGAAGAGGGAAUCGCUAGUAAUAGUAGAUCAGCCCGCUACGGUGAAUACGUUUCCGGGUCUUGUACACACCCCCCCUCACACCCCCAGAGUUUUAACACCCGAAGCCCGGGGGGGGGCCCCCCCCCCCCCUUUUUGUUUUUGGCGGGCAACGGUGCGGGGCUCACCUCAUAGAGUUCCCGA